rnacentral:sRNA from 1 species
GCGUGGUGCGCGUGAUUUGUACCGAUCCGCGCCAUAAGCAGCGUCAAGGCUGAUUCGAAGGACUAGACCAUGGCACGUAUCGCCGGCAUCAACAUUCCCGUG